rnacentral:rRNA from 1 species
UACGUAGGGUGCGAGCGUUAAUCGGAAUUAUUGGGCGUAAAGCGUGCGCAGGCGGUUUUAUAAGACAGAUGUGAAAUCCCCGGGCUUAACCUGGGAACUGCGUUUGUGACUGUAAGACUUGAGUGUGGCAGAGGGGGGUGGAAUUCCACGUGUAGCAGUGAAAUGCGUAGAUAUGUGGAGGAACAUCGAUGGCGAAGGCAGCCCCCUGGGUCAACACUGACGCUCAUGCACGAAAGCGUGGGGAGCAAACAGG